ACGGCAGCGGACCUUCGGGUGCCGGCGAGUGGCGAACGGGUGAGUAAUACAUCGGAACGUACCCAGUAGCGGGGGAUAGCCCGGCGAAAGCCGGAUUAAUACCGCAUACGCCCUACGGGGGAAAGGGGGGGAUCUUCGGACCUCUCACUAUUGGAGCGGCCGAUGGCUGAUUAGCUAGUUGGUGGGGUAAAGGCCUACCAAGGCGACGAUCAGUAGCUGGUCUGAGAGGACGACCAGCCACACUGGGACUGAGACACGGCCCAGACUCCUACGGGAGGCAGCAGUGGGGAAUUUUGGACAAUGGGCGAAAGCCUGAUCCAGCAAUGCCGCGUGUGCGAAGAAGGCCUUCGGGUUGUAAAGCACUUUUGUCAGGAAAGAAAGGGUCUGGGCUAAUACCCCGGGCCAUUGACGGUACCUGAAGAAUAAGCACCGGCUAACUACGUGCCAGCAGCCGCGGUAAUACGUAGGGUGCGAGCGUUAAUCGGAAUUACUGGGCGUAAAGCGUGCGCAGGUGGUUUGUUAAGACAGUUGUGAAAUCCCCGGGCUUAACCUGGGAACUGCAAUUGUGACUGACAGACUAGAGUUUGGCAGAGGGGGGUGGUAUUCCUGGUGUAGC
rnacentral:rRNA from 1 species